UACGGGGGGAGCAAGCGUUGUUCGGAUUUACUGGGCGUAAAGGGCGCGUAGGCGGCCACUGCAAGUCAGUUGUGAAAUCUCCGGGCUUAACCCGGAAAGGUCAACUGAUACUGCAGGGCUAGAGUGCAGAAGGGGCAACUGGAAUUCUCGGUGUAGCGGUGAAAUGCGUAGAUAUCGAGAGGAACACCAGUGGCGAAGGCGGUUAACCUGGAGCUUUGCUGACGCUGAUGCGCGAAAGCGUGGGGAGCGAUCCGG
rnacentral:rRNA from 1 species